rnacentral:rRNA from 1 species
GAUGAACGCUGGCGGCGUGCCUAAUACAUGCAAGUCGAGCGAAAAGACGAGGAGCUUGCUCCUCUGUCGUUAGCGGCAGACGGGUGAGUAACACGUGGAUAACCUACCUAUCAGACUGGGAAAACUUCGGGACACCGGAGAUAAUACCGGAUAAUAUAUUGAACCGCAUGGUUCAAUAGUGAGAGACGGUUUUGCUGUAACUUCUAGAUGGAUCCGCGCCGCAUUAGCUAGUUGGUAAGGUAAAGGCUUAUGAAGGCAACUAUGCGUAAACGACCGGAGAGGGUGGUCGGCCACACGGGAAGGGGGACGCGCACCAGACUCCUGCGGUAGGCAGCAGUAGGGAAUCGGCCGCAGUGGGCGGAAGCAUGACGGAGCGACGCCGCGUGAGUGAUGGAGGUCUUCGGAGCGGAAAACUCUGUUAUUAGUGAUGAACAAAUGUGUAAGUAACUGUGCACGUCGUGACGGUACCUAAUCAGAAAGCCACGGCUAACUACGUG